CCCUUGGAAGAUGAAGAAUUGGUCGUCUUUAUUCUCAACGGGCUAGACUUUGAGUACAAUCCAUUAACCUCCGCUCUUGUAACUAUGGGUUAAGCCAAUUAAAUUACCUGAAUUAUACUCUCAGUUGUUGAGCUUUGAAA
rnacentral:snoRNA from 1 species